rnacentral:lncRNA from 1 species
AGAAGGGAUUUAUCAAUCACUGAGAGAUUUCAGAGGAUGAAGAUUUUAACGAAAUUCAAAAACUAUCGCAAGAGGGCAAUACCUUGGUGGAAUUAACUUCACAUUUUGUUUUUAUUUGGCAAAAUCCCUCUGAGGUUCUUGUGUGUGGAGGGGUGUCUCACUCUCCCUACCACCUCUGACACUUGAAGCUAGACCAAGGCUGCUUGUCCAAGGACUGUGUUUUUUCAUUUUAAAAUUGGUCAGAGAAGGGUACUACUCACCAUAUUUAAAACCAACUUGACCCACUUUUGAGCUCUUGGUUUCCACUUAGCUUUUUCAAAAGCUUGGGGGAGGUUCUUACCCCAAAUGCCCUGGUGAAUGCUAGAAUUACAGGAUUUCUUCCCAAAGUACCUCUAAAGAACCAAUUAUACAAACUGUCGGUUAUAAGAGGAGUAAAUUUUGAGGGCCUGAUGUAUAACGUGGCGGCUAUAAUUGAUAAAAGAUCUCUUUUAACCAAGAGGCUGGAGUUUCUUUUCCUCACUCCUCUCCCCAAUUCUCUUUAAAAAAAUUUUUUUUUGUUAAAGUACAGUUAAUUUACAGUGGCAUGCCAAUUUCUGCUGUUUAUCAAAGUGAACCAGUCUCUCUCUAUAUGUGUGCAUAUAUGCAUAUGUAGAUAUACACACACACACACACACAUAUUCUUUUUCUCAUAUUCUCAUAUUAUGUUCUUUCACAAGAGAAUGGAUAUAGGUGCCUGUGCUGUACAGCAGGACCUCAUUGAUUGUCAAUUCUGAAUGUAAUAGUUGACAUCUAUGAAACCCAAACUCCCAGUCCAUCCCACUCCUUCUCCCUCCGCCUUGGCAACCACAAGUCUGUUCUCCAUGUCUCUGAGUCUGAAGAACAAAAGCAGACUCUCCCUACCUCUCAAUGUCACCCCAAAUCAAGAGUCUUUAGAUUCUCAAGUUUACUUAACAGAGGGGUCUCCCAAUGCUAUAACCAGCUACGCUUCCAACACGGCCAACACUUCAUGUUCACCCAUUACUGAGCUUCUUUCUCCUCAUUUCCCUCAAAAUAUGAGAACUAAGUGGGGAGCAGUGUGCCUGCCUGUGAGUUCUUCCCAUGUCCAAGGUCAUAGAGGGAUGGGAACUUGAGGCUUCAGCCUUGUGGGGCAAAGUGUGAACGUCUGUCUCAUUGUCCUGUGCUUGUCGGAAGGAGGUCUCCAGCCCAGAAGAGCCAGAGGUUAGUGCUGGCCCAUUUUCCAGGCCCUGGGAUCAGGGGCAUGGCCUUUGGAUCGGGUGCUGGCUGUCUGCAUCACCACACAGGCUCCAGGAAGCGGGCCUGGCUCCUUCUAUAACGCUCCUCCUCAAGUCCUCCCCCGCCCCGUCCCCCCUCACCUGGGCUGCUCUGCCAGGUGGGAACCAUUCUCUCUACCCUCAGUGCAGAAGGAGCAACACUGGCCUCGUGGUGGGGGUGAACUCAGGACAGGCUUUUCUUCAUAAUUCUGAAUUUCCUAGGUUUUGUCAGUGUAAGCCAGACUCUUAAUGCUAUUUUAAUGCAGUUGUUUUGUGUGUGAAUAAUAUGCUCUUUUUGCCAAACCUCAAACCCUGGAACUAAGAUCUCAUAAAAAUGCCUAGAGUCCAAAGCUAAUAGCUGUUAUUCAGCUGUUAUGGGGUAAGGCCUACGAACGUUUCAGAUUGAUGUUAUUCUCACCAGGGCAGUGGGUGAUACGAACCUACUGAGGAGAGGCUGAGGCUCCAGAUGCUCAGGGUGCAGGCAGAGAUGAAUCCCAUCUGCCUGCUCUAGUCGCUCUUCCAGAUGGAGGUCUCUGGUGUAGAUUUUUAACCUUCAUUCCCUGUCAUAGUUUCCUCCUUCUUGAUCUUCAGCUCAGUGAAUAGCCUCACUCCCCACUCAAGCUGAAAGUUCUAGAAGUCAUCUUUGACUCAUGCCCCUGCCCCCCACCCCGUACACAUCUGAUCCCACCACACAUCUGAUCACUUCAACGUUCAUUCAACAAGGUUUUUCGUUUUUUUGUUUGUUUGUUUGUUUGUUUUUUCGGCUGCACCUGUGGCAUAUUGAAGUCCCUGGGCCAGGGAUUGAAUCCGAGCUGGAGCUUCCACCUAUGCCACAGCUGCAGCAAUGCCAGAAACUUAAUCCACUGCACCACAGCAGGAGCUCCUCAACAGGUAUCUAAUGAGAGCUAAGUGCUUGCCUGGCACUCUGCUGGAUAGGCUGGUAAAGUGGCAGCCUGCUUGUAGGAGAGAACAUAGGGUCAUGGUUAAGAGUGUGGACUCUGGAAUUCCCUGAUGUCUCAGUGAGGAUGUUGGUUCCAUCCCUGUCCCUGCUCAGUGGCUCAAGGAUCCAGUGUUGCUGCAAGCGGCGGUGUAUGUCAGAGAUGAGGCUGAGGGCUGGUGAUGCAUGGCUGUAGUGUAGGCUGGCAGAUGCAGCUCCAAUACCACCCCCCUAGUAUGGGGAACUUCCAUGUGCUGCAGGUGCUGCUGUAAAAAAAGAAAAUGUGGCCUCUGAAGAGCCAGAGGUCAUGAGCUGGCUCUGCCAUUAUUAGCUCUGAGACCUUGGGGGCAAGGUCUUUCUGUCUCCUUAAGUGAAGUGGGGGUAAUCAUAGCAUCGGGCUUCACGGUUUCAUUUUGGCACCUAAAUGAAUUAUAGUUUUUAAUCCACUUGGUGUCUGGUAUACUGUAAAUAUGCCAGUGCUUGAAAAAUAAAACAAUGGGGGAGAGAUUGGUACUGAGUCUUCACACAAACAUGUGAAGUGGCAGGGGGAGAGGGUGGUGGCCCUGUGAAGUCUGAGGAGCCCCAGUUGGGCUUUGAAGGAUGAGUGGGUGUCAAAGUCCCGAGGGCUUCAUCUCCCGCCACUGUGCUUGUUCAAGCCUUGGUGACCUCACGCCUGGGGCCUCUGAGUGGUCUUCCUUCCAGCUCCCCUCCUCCGCAGUGGAGUUUUUCUAAACCUUAAGUCUGAUGGGGUCUUUUCCUUAAUGGCAUUCUGCAGGGGCUCCCAAGUUCCCUCAGGCCUGUAGCCAAGUAUCCUCAGUAGGCUUACAAGGACCUGCAUCAUUUUCCUGCCAGCAUCGUCUCGGUCCCCGCUUUGCUCACCUCCUCAACCCCUAGGAUACACCCUCACACGCUUUGCUUCAACCAUGGGGAAUUUCUUUUAGUUCUCUCUGCAGGUCACAGGCUUUCUCCCCUCCGGUCCAUGGCUCUUUUUCUCACCCCCACUGGGCAUCUCUCUGCUCUACCCCCCUUUCUCGGGCGAGCUUCUAUCAUCCCCCAGACCUCAGCCUCAACCUCGCUCCUGGGGCGGCCUUCCUCAGGCUCCAUGGCUCGAGUGAGGACUUUUGCUGUGAUUUUCUACAGCCCCUCCUAGUUCCCCUACUGUGGAGUUGGUCAUUUAUCAAUCGUGUCAUUUUUCUCUACUCUCUGCAAUCCCACCAAGCUCUGGGAGGGUAGAAGUUGCCUUUCCUGUUCAAGGGUACCCCCUGCCCCCCGCAUUCAGCACAGCGCUGGGCACAUGGUCAGCGCACAAUACCUCUUAUGGGUUGACUUAUGUCUUCCCCCCAAGUCCAUAUAUGUUGAUGCUCUAACCUCUGAACGUGACCUUACUUGGAGAUGGUGUUGCAGAUGUCAUUAGUUAAAAUGAGAUCAUCUUGGAAUAGGGUGAGUCCAACCGACCCAACCCGAGAAUCACCACAUGAAAAGAAAGACAUGCACAUAGAGGGAAAGUGACGUGAAGAUAAUACAGGGAAAAGAUAUUCAUCAACACGCCAAGGGAGGUGGCCCGGAGAAGACACCUCCCUCAUCGCCCUCAGAGGGUACCAAGCCUGCAGACACCUUGAUCUCAGGCUUGGCCUCAGAAUCAAGAGAUGAUACACUUCCUUUAUUUAAGCCACAUGGUGUGUGGUAUUUUGUCACGGCAGCCCUGGAAAACAAAGACGACCUCUUUCUUCACAGACCGGGUUUCCAGCUCUUUUCCAUGUGCUCCUAUAAGAAAGGACUUGGCCCGAUUGCCAACAUCCCCUCAGCAGCUCCACAUUCCACAAAUAGAUGGCUCCACAAGAAUGGCAGGCCCAGGUGGCUGUUAGUCAUCACAGCAAGCGGCCAAUUUUAGCUUCCAACGACCCCCUUCUCCCUGGGCAUUCCAAGAACUUCACCCAAGUGGGCAGGGGAGGUGCCCCUCUCAGCAAAGCGCCCACAGCAGGGGGGACGGGAGCGGAUGGGCAGGCAGGUGCCUGCUGUUCCCUCCCAGCCAGAAGCAGCAGCUGAGCAGGAACCGGGCUGAGCCAUGCACAGGGGCAAAGAGAAACAAGAGCUGGCGUGUGGAGCCAGAGCCAUGCUCUUUCUGGACUCCGGAGCCACACCACGGGAUGUCGGGGCAGGCUGUGCAGAAGCCAACAUGUCAGGGAGGAACUCCCCCUACCCCCCUUCUUAAAGGACGCUCCCCUUCUCUGUUUGAUUGCAGCCUCUAAUAAGCAAUUCUUUCAAAUUUCUUCUGACUUCAGAAGUUCAGAGUACGUUGAGCUAAAGAAACACCAGGAUCGUAAUUACGGUUAUUAUAGGGAGCUGUUGUAUGCCCAUCGCCACGGCAUCUGGCUGUAAUCACAUGCUUGAUGGAAUGCAAGACGAUCCACGGCUCAUAAUGGGCACUUUCUGAGCCAGGCAGCCACCAAGCGCCCACCCUCCCACUUGGAGGCCCAAGAGAACAGAUGUUUGUGGAAAGAGAGGAUGCCUGUGCCGGUCUGGAGGGCCAGUGACCUCGGCGUGGUGCUCAGGGAGAGACAUUCUAUAACCAGGUCUUGGAGCUCCUACUGUUCUGACCACCGAGCAAGGGCAAGAAGUGGGCUCUCCCCUGACUCUGGGCAGCAGGAAUGGGUUGCCACUGGAGGUGGGGGUGGGUGGUCAUCUCUGAUCACAGUGAGUCUCACAGAUGGCAAAGUGGAAAGGUGUGACUCUGGGAUGUAGACCCCAGCCUCUGUCCCCACUCCCCAGCAGCCAGGAUGCUCCCACACUCUGAAAAAGCUGAAGAAAAAUCUCUCGUUAAACAGUUCCUGAGGCAUAAUGGUCAAUGUCUGCUCAGGCUGCCAUAACAAAACACCACAGGCCAGGUGCCCGAAAUGACAGCAUUUACUUCUCAGCAUUCUAGACAUUGGGAAAUGCGAGAGCAAGCUGCCGCAGAUUGGUUUCUUGGUGAGGGCUCUCUGCCUGGCUGCACAUGACCAUUUUGCCUUCUUGAUGUCUCCUCCCAUGGUGGAGAGAAGAGGCUCUGGUGAGUCUCAUAAGGGCACGAAUCCUGCCAUGGGGCCCCACCUGCAAGACCUCAUCUAACCCUCAUCGCUUCCCAAAUGCCCUGCCUCCUAAUGCCAUCACAUUGGGGUUAGGCUUUAACAUAGGAACUUUGCGGAGACAGAAACAUUCUGUCUCUAAGGGUUAAACUUGCUUUCUCUCUCUCUUUUUUUGUGCCUAUCACGUCUUUCUUCACUCCUCAGUUUUGAGAGUCAAGAAACCCAGAGUUGGAGUUCCUGUUGUGGCUCAGUGGUUAAUGAACCCUACUAGUAACCACGAGGUUUUGUGGGUUCAAUUGCUGUCCUUUCUCAGUGGGUUAAGGAUCGGGUGUUGCUGUGGUGUAGGUCAAAGAACAGCUCUGAUCCUGCAUUGCUGUGGCUAUGGUGUAGGCCCGUGGCUAUAGCUCCAAUUAGACCCCUAGCCUGGGAACCUUCAUAUGUCGUGGUGCAGCCCU